AAUCCGGUUAUGCUGCUCACGAUAGGAGUUGGGGAAGUUCAAUCCUGUGAUAAUUUUAAGCUAUCCAAGACCCUCACGUCACCGGGCACGUCCCACGCUGCACCUGGAGGAAGGUGGUGCGCGACUGCCUUCUGGAGGCGGAUAUGAUCAUAAGAACUAUGAGGCCAGAAACAAUUCCAUGACUCCCCUGCCACCUCCAACCAGCUGCUUGGCACUAUGGUAGUGCUCCUAUCUUUGAGUUCGACGACCUUCCACACUUGUGCCAUCUGUCAAUGAGAAGACAAGGAAUUAGGAUUGGUGAAGAAGAGGGAUGGCAACAUAAUGGUCUUGGUCUGGAAAAAGCACACAUCUCAACCUCAAGAUCAUCGACCAACGUAUGGACCUGAAAACAGCCUAUUCGAGAGGAGGGGCAGGGAUAUGUGAAAUGGGAUUCCUUGUACCCAAAUCGUCUGUAGAUGAUGAAGACUGAACCAGAGGAUAGCACAAUGUUUUGGACCAGUCCAAUAUCCUGUCCUACUGCUAUGCAGUUGUUCCCAGUCUUUGUUGACAGGCAAAAAUCUGUUGUUGCUACCUUUCUGUACUGUUUGGCAGUACUGAAUUGCAGAGGCAAAGGACCAUCCUGGUGUAUGUCGUAUAAAAGGGGUGGCUUACUUGGAGGUGGAGUAACAGUUUGAUGCACCUCUGACAGUCUCUUGACUACCUGUUGUAAUGGUAGUUGAGGAUUUCGCAAUUUUUUUUUAACUUUUCCAAGGAAGUUUUCAUAAGGAAAUGCAGAGACACGGUCAAGGGCACCAAACUGUUUGUACACAUCAGCUAGAUGUAUCACCUGAUGAACUGUAAAUACAAUUUCUCCUUGACCAUAUAAAUCUCCAAAGCUUUUAACAAAGGCUGUUGGGACUCUAUUGGCAAAAUCAAUCAUGGGUGCAAAGAGGUUGGGGCUGAGUAAUAAGAACACACCCACGGAAAACAACAGGAAGUUCUCAAAAAUCUCUUCUGGUAGAUUGUGCUUUAGGACCACAGGUCCACUGUAAAUCAUGAACUGCCUUAGUUCUGUAGCCUUCCAUCUUUCUAUCUCUAUCAGCUCUCGUGGUUUUCGGGCAAAUUCAGAUGGAAUAUGGGGACGGAGAGCAAUCAGUUUAGAUGAUAUAGCUGAGAUGACAUUAGAUGGCUGUCUUAUGCCCAGGUUUUUGCCCUUCAUCCAGAAAAGAAUGAGUUUUUGGUAACACUUUAUAUUAAGGUACACCUAUUCACCAUUAAAUAGUUGCUUAUUAGCAUGCAAAUUAGUAACAUAUUGGCUUUUAAUUAGUCAUUAUUAAGUACUUAUUAUACAACCAGUAAGCCAUUAACUAAGAGUUUUCCCUCAAUAACCUCAGAAUUAUGGCUUAUUAGCAGUAAGUAAGGAAGUUGUUGCAUAUGAAUUAUGAUCUUAAUAUGCUUUGCUUAGUAUGGACUUUAUAAGGUGGUAGUACCACAAGAAUAGUUAUUCUCCCUUAAUAACACUUAAUGAAUAUGGUCUGUUCUUACAUAAAAAAUACACAAAACUACAAGUGUUAAUAGUGUCCAAAUAACUCUAAAUUAAGUCUUUGUUACUUAGAAUAUGUUCCCCAUACUAAAGUGACAUCUUGAUCAUUACUAAUUCACUAGUAAUUGAACACUUAUUAACCAACACAUGUUCCCUAAUCUAAAGUUGCCUCCUUUUUACACUUAGUUAAUAUAUUAUAGCACAUAACUACUGCAAUGAACAAGCGAUGGGUUACACCUUUGAAAAAAAUGGAUCUAUCUAUAGGUUCCCUCUCAUUCAGUGGUAGAAUAACAAAGACAGCAAGUACAAAUACCUCAUUUAUUAAACCACUGGUUCAGGUUUUCCCAAGGCUGACAACAAAUACUGCCUGAAAAUUCAAACACUGACAAGUAUCAAUGUUUAUAAACAUGUCAUACAAUAUGGUAUCAAAUGUAUAAGCAGGUCAUACUGUAUGAUAAUACAGGUACUCUAUUGUUGAACAUCUGUGUGAUCCUUUAACCAAAAUCUGCCUGCUUAAAAAAAAACACAAUAUAAAAUACUGCACAAUAUUAAGUACAAAAAUACAAUAAAUUGCACAAUCUAAAAAAUAUAAAACCUGCACAGCUCAACAUGAACUUGCUCUUCAUCAGCUAAACUACACUUGUCAAAGCUUAGAACAAAUGUACUGAACUGUACAAACAUUGCACUUUCACAGCCUAAACUUGCUCUAUAAUUACUGCAUCAGGUGAUUUAUUUCCCCUGUGCACUAACAAGGAUAUAACUAAAUCUGCACAGGUUAAUAUUUCACGUUUCCAAUACAAUACAACCGAUCUUUAACUGAACAAAGCAGAUCACUUAAGUCUUUAAUAUUUCAUCAACUAGUUAGUGUGAAUGCUGCAAAAUAAAAUGGAGCUUUAUUCUUGAUGAAAGCCACAUUUUUUACUUUAGACAUUUAAUUUUUAUUUAUCAUCAAAUUCCUAGUAUAUUCAGACUCUAGAACUGAAGAUCUGUAUUUUUGCCUCAUAAUUACUUCAGAACAUAUAUUUUUAACAGCUCUUCCAAUGCUUUUAUUAAUAAUUACUUUUCAUGACCACUUGUUGCUAACAGGGCAGGUGGUUCAAGUUAUGCCAUUCUUACCUCUCACAUGAGCUUUUCCAAGCACAGCCACAGUUGCAGAUGCAGGUGGCUGUGUCCAACGUUUCUUCCGUCUUUGGAUGACAACAUCACUGUCCGAGGACUCACUGAUGUUUGGAGAAGAUGGGGGAAUGACGUCAUCUUCAUCCAUGUUACCAUCGUCAUCCUCGUCGUCGUCCUCCAAAGUAAAUACUUUUGGUUGAGCUUUGAUCAAAUAGGAGGAUAGAUGAGACAAAGAUCAGAUUGUUAUGAAGACAUAUCACACCUUUCAUUACAAUUACAUUACAUUUUGCAGAUACAAGUUGCUCCCAAAUCACUCACAUGAUUUCUUCUUUCCCAUGAUUUGCUCACGCAAGAAAUUGCGCUCUUGCUCAAGAUCCUUUAUUAUUUUUUCUUGCCAUUGGAUCCUUGCUUCUAGGAACUCCACUUUGGAGAUUGAUCCUUAAAAACAAAAAUGAGAGCAGGAUACAAAAAAUAUUAUGAUUUGACAGUAUUGAGUGAGUGAGUGAGUGAGUGAGAGAGAAUGACAUGCAUGUAACAAAGGUAGUGGACCAGAUAUGGUGUGUGCGGCUGCCUCAACUUGAUUUGUAAGCACAUGUAUACUGACAAAAUCUGCCAACAACUUUAAUCUCAGGCAGGAAAAAUCCCUAGCAAAAAAUGAAACUCUGCUAAGAUACACUGCUAGAAAAUGAGAAAUCAUUACCUGAUCCAAUGCUGCUUAUGCUGCUGCGACUUGGAGCAGAGCUUCCUUCAACUUCAGGACCUACAGUAUGGCAUAGGUACAACAAAAUCAACAUAUGAAUAGAGGACUUUCAAUGUUUAAACACAUUUGGACAAGCUAAUUAUUUAGGUAUUGAAGUUACUUGAAAGUUGACAAAGAAAAAUUUACCAUCCAAAUCAUUUUUGGUCACCUCUGUCAUCGAGUCAUUUUUAGGGACUUUUAGGGACAUUUUCUUCUUGGCCUUAGGCUGUAAAAAUAUAAAUAAAUUCAUGUCACUAUAACCGGCAAAAUUUAACUUAAAUAAUCUACACAAGAUUCAAAAGCUCUUCUUGUUCGAAUGACUGCAUAGUGCAUAAUUUAUUUUUCAUUACAAAAUAUGGUUCAUACUAAUUCAUUAAUACACAGGAUCAGAUGUUAUAAUCCCUUGUGCCAAAAUCCAAGGAAAACACAUAUUCAGAAGCCCCUGUCCAAACCAACCUUAUAAGCACGCUGGCUACUGAGCUACCAACCAAAGGUGAAAAAACACGGGACAACUAGCCCAAUUAACAGCAGUAAAUACAGCAGUAAGCAGUAAGCAGAAUAUCAUUGGGGUUAUCAAGUGGGCACCCUCUUUCACAGAUGUUUCGUUUAAGUUAGGCCCACGACACCUCCUGAAGGCUUAACAAUGAAACCAGCGUCCUGGAUUCACCCCCCUCAAUGCUGCCACCACAUUGCCACAUUUAAAGCAUCUAAACACUCUUUCCUGCAUCGUACCCCUAGCCCUACCCCUAACCCUGACCACACAAACACGUUGGCAUAUUAGCUCACGUUAGCACAGCUGGCUUACCUCAGCUUGCACCCCAGGAAGUAUGUUUUCUCCUUACCCACAGCCAUUCACUUGCUCGUUCUGCUGCCACGGACAUGUAACUAACCGCCUGCCUCAGACUUCGUCCACAAAUACCCAGUUCAGUCAGCAAGCUAAUAGCAGAUCUAGCAACAAACCCCCGUGCACCGAUUUCAAUAGGCCUUAGUCGCGAACUCCAGCCUCUCUGUGCUGCCUCUUCAGCCAUCUCAGCAUACUUCGCUUUCUUAAGCUCAUUAGCUACUUCAACUCUGUCUUCCCAAGGAACUGUAUGUUCAAUAAAAUAAACAAUCUUCUCUAAGUCUGACCACAAUAGCAUAUCUGGGCUUAGCCGAGUGCUAACAAUGUGUGGAGGCACAACAACCUGCUGAAUAAGAUCCGCCUUCAAUUCCCAGGCUCCUCCAUUACUUAGCUGCCCGACUCUGUGCCUGCCUCUAAAUGGUCUAGCCUUUUCCCCCUGAUGCACAAAGUUAAUUUGCCUACCCUCUUUACUAGCGGCUGAUGAAUUAGCUUCACCCCGUUUAGCAUCAACAGCCUCUGCCAAACAUUUCAAUACCUGGUUGUGACGCCAAAGCAUUACAUAUGCACCUACAUUCACAUUUUAUGUUAAUGUUACAGUUUCUUUCCUACUAUUCACCCAGCUCACGUGCACACUCACGCACUCAGCUAGCUUAACGUUACAUUAGCUAAUUAGCCUACACACUGCAGAUAAAUAGGAGGGUUUACUACUCUUUAACUAUGUAAACGGCCCGAGGACGGGCGUUAUGAUGUGCUUACAAAACUCAGGGGGAGUUUCAAUUAACAGGCUAGCGCUUAACUUACCAUUUUUGUUACACGAAUUUCCCUCUUCACUCUCCAAACUGUGAACGAAACGGCAAAUACCCACCUUCUCCGAAUCUUUGACGUGACUGGUGGCUCCCUUUGGAUGAUUGGAUGAGGAUGUCACAUGACAGCAUAGUAACAGUCAAUGAUUGGAUGAGAGCAACAUAUCGGAGGAACACGGCUACGGAUUGGUAGAUUGUUAUGUCAAUUACUGUAAUGGCACUUCGCGCCAUUCUUUGAUGCAGGACUGCGAGACUGU